AGACCGUGAUGCGGGCAGAGCCUCAUCAUAUCUUUAUACAUCUCCCAAGCUUCGAAAAGCGAUUCACCAUCUUUCUACCUGAAAUCGUUUAUUUGACUCCUUAGCAU